rnacentral:lncRNA from 1 species
ACAAUCAUGCUUAUAUUAAAAAAGAAAAAUCCCCAAAAAUAAUAAAACUUCAUCAUUUCAACCACAAAUCAAGAAAUAAUCCAUAAACUUGCAUCUCAUACUACCACUAAGCAUGAUUUAAGCAUCAAUUAAAGAAGGAGGGUGGUUCUUCACAACUCACCUUAGAAACAAGAGAGAGAGAGCUAGUGGUCACCUUAACUUUCCAAAUAACUUCAC